rnacentral:rRNA from 1 species
AAUCUUGCGCAAUGGGCGAAAGCCUGACGCAGCCAUGCCGCGUGGAUGAUGAAGGUCUUAGGAUUGUAAAAUCCUUUCACCGGGGACGAUAAUGACGGUACCCGGAGAAGAAGCCCCGGCUAACUUCGUGCCAGCAGCCGCGGUAAUACGAGGGGGGCUAGCGUUGCUCGGAAUUACUGGGCGUAAAGGGCGCGUAGGCGGACAGUUAAGUUGGGGGUGAAAGCCCGGGGCUCAACCUCGGAAUUGCCUUCAAUACUGGCUGUCUUGAGUACGGGAGAGGUGAGUGGAACUCCGAGUGUAGAGGUGAAAUUCGUAGAUAUUCGGAAGAACACCAGUGGCGAAGGCGACUCACUGGCCCGUUACUGACGCUGAGGCGCGAAAGCGUGGGGAGCAAACAGG